rnacentral:rRNA from 1 species
GACCGCUGGCGGCGUUCUUAACACAUGCAAGUCGAACGGCCAGGCCCUGCUUUUGUGGGGUGCUCGAGUGGCGAACGGGUGAGUAACACGUGAGUAAACUGCCCUUGACUUUGGGAUAACUUCAGGAAACUGGGGCUAAUACCGGAUAGGAGCUCCUGCUGCAUGGUGGGGGUUGGAAAGUUUCGGCGGUUGGGGAUGGACUCGCGGCUUAUCAGCUUGUUGGUGGGGUAGUGGCUUACCAAGGCUUUGACGGGUAGCCGGCCUGAGAGGGUGACCGGCCACAUUGGGACUGAGAUACGGCCCAGACUCCUACGGGAGGCAGCAGUGGGGAAUAUUGCACAAUGGGCGGAAGCCUGAUGCAGCAACGCCGCGUGCGGGAUGACGGCCUUCGGGUUGUAAACCGCUUUCGCCUGUGACGAAGCGUGAGUGACGGUAAUGGGUAAAGAAGCACCGGCUAACUACGUG